GACGAACGCUGGCGGCGUGCUUAACACAUGCAAGUCGAACGGAAAGGCCCUGCUUUUGUGGGGUGCUCGAGUGGCGAACGGGUGAGUAACACGUGAGUAACCUGCCCUUGACUUUGGGAUAACUCCAGGAAACUGGGGCUAAUACCGGAUAGGAGCUCCUGCUGCAUGGUGGGGGUUGGAAAGUUUCGGCGGUUGGGGAUGGACUCGCGGCUUAUCAGCUUGUUGGUGGGGUAGUGGCUUACCAAGGCUUCGACGGGUAGCCGGCCUGAGAGGGUGACCGGCCACAUGGGGACUGAGAUACGGCCCAGACUCCUACGGGAGGCAGCAGUGGGGAAUAUUGCACAAUGGGCGGAAGCCUGAGGCAGCAGCGCCGCGUGCGGGAUGACGGCCUUCGGGUUGUAAACCGCUUUCGCCUGUGACGAAGCGUGAGUGACGGUAAUGGGUAAAGAAGCACCGGCUAACUACGUG
rnacentral:rRNA from 1 species